ACAGGUUUCAGCCUGUAUAAAUAGCCUUUAAGCUGAAAGCGUUGAAAGGGUUUUGAUUAACCCUUUCAGGUAGAA
rnacentral:ribozyme from 1 species